rnacentral:lncRNA from 1 species
CAUCUGCUUGAUUUGCCAGGAACUAGUUAGAUAAAUGAGGUGUGAUUGCUGCUGAGCACUUUGGAGCAAAGAAGCUCGUCAAUGAGGUCAUGCUGUGGUUUAAAGAUCCUGACAGUCCAGGCCAUCAUUAUCAAUCAGUUCCAUCAUUGUUCCGAGAGUUCAAGGGAAAAAAGCCAGAGAAGACUGAGAAACAUAAAAGGAAAAUAUGAACAAAAUAACCAUCUUAAGCCAAGUGCUGCUGGGAGGUGCUAUGCAUAAGUAGGGUAAUUCCAUGCGCCUACAAUAAAA